rnacentral:rRNA from 1 species
CAGCCGCCGCGGUAAUACGUAAGUGGCAAGCGUUGUCCGGAAUUAUUGGGCGUAAAGGGCUCGCAGGCGGUUUCUUAAGUCUGAUGUGAAAGCCCCCGGCUCAACCGGGGAGGGUCAUUGGAAACUGGGAAACUUGAGUGCAGAAGAGGAGAGUGGAAUUCCACGUGUAGCGGUGAAAUGCGUAGAGAUGUGGAGGAACACCAGUGGCGAAGGCGACUCUCUGGUCUGUAACUGACGCUGAGGAGCGAAAGCGUGGGGAGCGAACAGGAUUAGAUACCCCAGUAGUCCCUGUCUCUUAUAA